rnacentral:miRNA from 14 species
UAUGUGUGUAUGUCUGUGUAUAUGUCCAUGUGUGUAUAUGAAUAUACAUAUACAUACACACAUACACAUACACACAAGCACACACACAUACGAA